GACAGAGGUGCCGAGCGUUAGGCGGAAUCACUGGGCUUAAAGCGUGUGUAGGCGGGCCGUUAAGUAUCUUGUGAAAUCCCCCGGCUCAACCGGGGAAUGGCUGGAUAUACUGGCGGUCUUGAGCGAUCUAGGGGCAGAUGGAACAAGUGGUGGAGCGGUGAAAUGCGUAGAUAUCAUUUGGAACGCCAACGGAGAAAUCAGGUAGCUGGGGGUGUGCUGACGCUGAGACACGAAAGCCAGGGGAGCGAAUGGG
rnacentral:rRNA from 1 species